GGAAGUCUCUGGGCGGCAAAGUGUUAAACGUGGGUAUUUGACAUCCGCACUGACAAUAGGGCCUGACAGAGAAUCUUCCACAUUCAAUUGCUCUCCGUCUCGCGCAUUUCCAAACUAAAACCCAAGAUGGAUUCCAUCGCCAGAAACCUCGACGGUCGCAACUCGAGCUGCGCUUCCACCUCUGAACCAAGAGAAGCUCCGAUCAAGUUGCAGGAGUGUAGGAAAAGUAUUGAUGUUCAAAUGAGUUUUGGUGGUAAUGGGGCAAGCUUCAGAAACAAUCCAAAUUGGCCUGGGGGAGAAUCUUCCAUGCAUACGAUUGGCUACUGGCUCCUUCUGAGGUGUAAACUCAGCGAGUUUCCAAUCCAAGUCCACCGUCAGCAAAUAUUUUCUUCUUUGGGCUUCCUCUUCUAGGCUUCCCCUUCUAGGCUUCCCCCUCUAGGGAGAGGUUUCCACACCCUUAUAAGAAAUGUUUUGUUCCCUCUCCAACUAACAUGGAAUCUCACAAUCCACUCCCUUUGAGGGCCAACAUUUUUGUUGGCAGACCAUCCGGUGUCUGGCUCUGAUAUCUUUUGUAAUAGCUCAAAUUCACGGUUAGCAGGUCUCAACCAUCAUGGGAUCACACCUGCACUGCUGCAGCAGCAGCAAGCCUUUCUCUUUGAGCUUCAACUCAGUUUCGAAGUUGAGUUCAGUUGAAUUAGAAAAUCAGGGUGAAGCAUUGGAAGAUACUCCGGGAACACUAUUAGAAGCUUUCACCACUUGACCUAUUUGGAUGGGGCGGUCCUAUAAAGCAAGACAUGCAAGCAGCUUUUGCUAAUGGAGGACGCUCCUUGGAACCCCUGAGGUGAAAGUUUUCAAUUCUUAGAUAUUUAAAUCUCAUCCUUAUAGUUUUAGAAUUAUAUCAAAACAUCAAUGUUAUAGUUUGACAUUUGACCAUACAUUAAUUUACUGGAGUUUAAAUGAACUAAAUCCCGAAGCACAACUGAAGAUGAAAGUUUAAAUCUCGGACCUCAAAGAAACAAAUAGGUGCAUAACCGUGCAGGGUACGAGGAAUUGGAUAUCCAUAAGUUCUGGACAUUUGUGAGUACCAUUCUGUAAGUGGAGGAAUUUUCUAAUCAUUUCGGAAUUCCAACUUCAAAUCAAACCGAUAGGAUUGGAGUUUUUAGGUAAAUGGGGUUUGUUUGUAUCUUUGUUA